rnacentral:rRNA from 1 species
AUGAUGAAACGAAAAAGCAAAUCAUUCAAUUUUGUAUACUGUGGCACCGUUACAUGCUUGAAUGUGGCUGAAGAUUAUCCAUUUGAAGAGAAAGCUACUGUACGGCGAAUCCUUCCCUUGCUUCAGCGUCACACAUUGGUUCAGACCUUUGGACCAAAGAACCAUGUCCGUUUAAAGGCCAGCUCCAUCGUAAUUUCACCAUAUGCGCCUACACAGAAAAUGCAAGUUCCAUCUUCAUGUACUUCCGUGGUCUCUUCUACGACACCAGCAAUGGUUUGGCAGCACAGCACAUGGGGGCAAUGGACCAUCUGA